rnacentral:lncRNA from 1 species
CUUUGCAAAAAUGGUUUCACAUUUGCUUAAAUGCUUCAUCACAGUCACAUUUAAAAUAGUGACUCUAAACAAAGAAGAAAGCAGCACUGUCAUCAGAUGCAUGAUAAACCAAAAUAUGAAAAUGGGAAAUGUUUAAUUAACCUAGUCAUUGGGUGGGUUAAGUACAUGGGUGAAUUUUAUAUGAAUUCCUUUUUUGUGGUUUGGAUGUUGCAGCUAGUAAAGGAUAUUUUUGCUCUG